ACGGCUUUUAAGUCAACAACUUUUCAAAAUUAAAAAAUAAAAAAUAAAAAAUAAAAGAUUCAGAAAAGAAAAAACAUAAACAAGCAAUUGAAAAUCUUCUACCCUGAAGUUCAAUCAAAUCUUCAACCUGCGAUUUUUGAUGCCGACGCUGACGUCAGUGCCCUCCAAUGCAAACCCCAUCCACCUCUGACCCUACCCUCUCGGUGGCGUCGAGCAGUUUGCUUUUUUGCCCGGCUCUUCCAUCGGCCUGCCAGCCCGACCCAUCUCCGGGGCCUCCUCCUCUGAGGCUUCCUCUCCCCUGCAACAGCUAUGCUCUCCCACUCGCACCUCUCACUCCUUUAGCCUUCCCUGACCACAUCCUCUACACCCUGCCCGAGCCUCCCGUCGCUGAAAUCUCCCCCCACACCCGAUGCUGACCACAACCAAUGACUUUGAAUCGAUAAUCAUUUGUGCGUAGCCAAAAAAAAAAAAGAAGGUAGAGGAUACUAUAGUCUGCUAAAAUUAGAAUGCGAAUUUAAGGACAACGACUUGCUAUUGCUGCAGUUCUGAUCGGAGAUAAUGGAGCCCCAUCAAAACCUGGAUUUCAACCUAUUGAAGGUAGGGGACCAAGGAUUCAGCUGCGGAGGGUGGAUCUCCCUAGCCAUUUGUCAUGCCAGGAAUUGAUGGAGGCACAAUGUCCAACCGAUCAAUUGGCUCACCUUCCCAAGCCUCCGGUGCAGCUCUUGGAGCUUGCCAAUUGAGGGAGCCCAACCAGGAUUUUGCAGAUCGUUGAGAUGUGAACUUAGGGCGGAGGAUCUGCGCCGAAGAAGUAUUUGGCGAAGAAUAUCGAUAGACAAAACUUCCCAGUAAAGCAUUGUUUAUGGGGUCCAUCCAAGUGUUAAUGCCCUAGCCUCCAUGCAGUUUUUGGUUUCGUAACUUCAUCCCUGUUAACUAUAAAUUGUGUAACUCCUUUUAUCUUGAGUAGAUCCCCAAAGAAAGUCUCGGUUGAGCUUAUCAAUGGAAGAAACUGACUUUUAAUUCUCCUACUCUCGAACAUUUGGAUGAAUUAUAAUUGCGA